CAAGAACAGUGGUACAUCUAUUCAAAGUUGCUACCCUCUUUAAACUUUAAAUUCCUAAGUCAUAAUAUACAGUUUAAAACGCGCAAACUUUGUAUUGUAUCGCAGCAUAAAUUUUUCAGUAACCAUAACUUGAGCUUUUUUUUUUUGGGGGGGGGGGGUCUCCUUGAAGCCAGUCUCUAAAAUGCAGCCACUUGACUUGAUUUGAUAUACUUUACCUUAUUAUGGGAGAGCGUUAGCACGACGGCGAGUGAGGUGACCUUAUAAGCACAUAAGCGGCACACAUCCCCAGGAUUUGUAUACUCAAGAGAGCUGAAAUGGUAGAGCGAAACUCCGUUAUUGGUUACGCACCAUACAAUAUUUUUUUUAGUAACAGAAUCAUAAUAAACCUUCCUCCGCGCUUCGCGUGUGGUUGUUUUGUCUGCCCCCCGCGUAAAUUAUCAAGAAAAGAAAACAAAUCUAAAUAAAAUUUGGUUUUUCUAUGACGCACCUGGAAGGCUGAUUUGCUUUUCUGUUUUGUUUGAGUGGCAAAAUCAAGUCAAGGAGAGAAAAAAAAACCGCGUUUGACUGAAAUCCCAACUCCAGCCUAUAGUUAUAGAAAUGUCCUUUACUAAAUUAAAAGAAGUACAGAAAUAUCUACCUGUAUUUCCAGAAGUUUAUUAGAGAAGCUCAUUGACUAAACGGCACCCUCGAGUUGCAUACUUUGAUCGGCGCAUUUAAUUCCCUCGCUACAUUAACUUUGCGGAAAGGCUUUUUCCUAAUUUAAUAUGGACGUCGUUUUGUUGCCUCCUGUCCAUCCACUAGCGUUAUAAAUUUGAUUACAGUUGCCAACAAAGAACAUUAUGGUAUUAACUGCCCUUUUGCAAUAAUGUACUUUCUCUCAUAGCAAUGUCCUUUCUUUUGUUACGAUGCUGGUUGUAUCAAGCACGUAGUAGAAAAGUGGGCGAAAAGUCAACGAAAGCUUUAAGAAAAUAAUUAUUUUUGCGCCCACACUCAUAAUUACUGCAUCUGUUGUAAACCAAGUAGCACUGAGGGGACCUUCUUCCUCAUCUAGCUGAAAGGGUUCAGACAGUGGGACAGUCGAAAAUUAGAGAUGACGGCAGUACCCAUCAAUUCCACGAUGGGAAACUCUUCAAGUUGUUACGUGGCUGGUAGGCUACGUGGCUGAAGAAAAGCUACUUAUCGAAAGAGCGUCUCUGGUGACCCCAGUACGAUUGAUAAUUUUUGUCUUAAGUCUGAUAAUGGGUAUUUUUUCGAUGGUGACCAAACGGAAUCGUCAUUUUACUGUAGUUUUAUUCGAGCAACGUCUCAUCUAACUACCCUCUGGCUAACCGCUCAGCAAGCGAGUUCCUUGUGUCGUUCAUCGCCCAGAGUUAAAGCAUGUCUGUGAUUCUAAGGCUGUUACUUCGCGCUGAAAUAAAUUGCCGUUUCGCAGAGAGAGUGUUAUUUCAAGAUAUUGGCCGAGUUCCAAUAACGGCAAGUCUGUCCAAUAUCUGCUUGGUAACACUAGAGCGGUACAUUUCAGUUUUCCAUUCUCUGAAACACCCAACUAUUGUCACCAGCUUGAGAAUUAAUGUCGCUAUCCCAGUCAGUUGGGUAUGAAAUGUUGUUCUUUUUGUCUUUUUUCCUAAUGGCAUGGCCAGUUUUUCUUCUUGUAGCUUUAAUAUUAUUUGUUCUUGUGGUUUCUCGGAAACACGCAAUAAGAAUCCUCAAUGAAACAGCUGGUCACGGUUCUUACAAAAAAGAACAUCGUGGGCUCAGGAAAGUUUCUCGGAAACAUGCACAAAGAAUCCUCGAUGAAACAGCUGGUCACGCUUCUUACAAAAAAGAACAUCGUGGGCUCAGGAAAGUUUCUCGGGAACAGGCACAAAGAAUCAUCGAUGAAACAGCUGGUCACGGUUCUUACAAAAAAGAACAUCGUGGACUCAGGAAAGUUUCUCGGAAACAUGCACAAAGAAUCCUCGAUGGAACAGCUGGUCACUGUUCUUACAAAAAAGAACAUCGUGGACUCAGGACCGCCAGAAUAUGCAUGCUUGUUUUUCUCAUUACGUGUCUCAUGACUCUUGUUAACAAUUUAGCUUUUCCUUUUUUGAGGUUGACAGUUUUGCUGUCCAACAAGCAAAGGAUAUCCUCUUUUAUUCGGCCGUAAAUAUGUACUUCUUAAGUCCAACCUUAAACCCUGUUAUCAUCGAAAGAGCGUCUCUGGUGACCGCAGUACGAUUGAUAAUUUUUGUCUUAAGUCUGAUAAUGGAUAUUUUUUCGAUGGUGACCAAACGGAAUCGUUAUUUUACUGUAGUUUUAUUCGAGCAACGUCUCAUCUAACUACCCUCUGGCUAACCGCUCAGCAAGCGAGUUCCUUGUGUCGCUCAUCGCCCAGAGUUAAAGCAUGUCUGUGAUUCUAAGGCUGUUACUUCGCGCUGAAAUAAAUUGCCGUUUCGCAGAGAGAGUGUUAUUUCAAGAUAUUGGCCGAGUUCCAAUAACGGCAAGUCUGUCCAAUAUCUGCUUGGUAACACUAGAGCGGUACAUUUCAGUUUUCCAUUCUCUGAAACACCCAACUAUUGUCACCAGCUUGAAAAUUAAUGUCGCUAUCCAAGUCAGUUGGGUAUGAAAUGUUGUUCUUUUUGUCUUUUUUCCUAAUGGCAUGGCCAGUUUUUCUUCUUGUAGCUUUAAUAUUAUUUGUUCUUGUGGUUUCUCGGAAACACGCAAUAAGAAUCCUCAAUGAAACAGCUGGUCACGGUUCUUACAAAAAAGAACAUCGUGGGCUCAGGAAAGUUUCUCGGAAACAUGCACAAAGAAUCCUCGAUGAAACAGCUGGUCACGCUUCUUACAAAAAAGAACAUCGUGGGCUCAGGAAAGUUUCUCGGGAACAGGCACAAAGAAUCAUCGAUGAAACAGCUGGUCACGGUUCUUACAAAAAAGAAUAUCGUGGGCUCAGGAACGUUUCUCGGAAACAUGCAAGAAGAAUCCUCGAUGAAACAGCUGGUCACAAUACUUACAAAAAAGAACAUCGUGGACUCAGGAAAGUUUCUCGGAAACAUGCACAAAGAAUCCUCGAUGGAACAGCUGGUCACUGUUCUUACAAAAAAGAACAUCGUGGACUCAGGACCGCCAGAAUAUGCAUGCUUGUUUUUCUCAUUACGUGUCUCAUGACUCUUGUUAACAAUUUAGCUUUUCCUUUUUUGAGGUUGACAGUUUUGCUGUCCAACAAGCAAAGGAUAUCCUCUUUUAUUCGGCCGUAAAUAUGUACUUCUUAAGUCCAACCUUAAACCCUGUUAUCAUCGAAAGAGCGUCUCUGGUGACCGCAGUACGAUUGAUAAUUUUUGUCUUAAGUCUGAUAAUGGAUAUUUUUUCGAUGGUGACCAAACGGAAUCGUUAUUUUACUGUAGUUUUAUUCGAGCAACGUCUCAUCUAACUACCCUCUGGCUAACCGCUCAGCAAGCGAGUUCCUUGUGUCGCUCAUCGCCCAGAGUUAAAGCAUGUCUGUGAUUCUAAGGCUGUUACUUCGCGCUGAAAUAAAUUGCCGUUUCGCAGAGAGAGUGUUAUUUCAAGAUAUUGGCCGAGUUCCAAUAACGGCAAGUCUGUCCAAUAUCUGCUUGGUAACACUAGAGCGGUACAUUUCAGUUUUCCAUUCUCUGAAACACCCAACUAUUGUCACCAGCUUGAAAAUUAAUGUCGCUAUCCAAGUCAGUUGGGUAUGAAAUGUUGUUCUUUUUGUCUUUUUUCCUAAUGGCAUGGCCAGUUUUUCUUCUUGUAGCUUUAAUAUUAUUUGUUCUUGUGGUUUCUCGGAAACACGCAAUAAGAAUCCUCAAUGAAACAGCUGGUCACGGUUCUUACAAAAAAGAACAUCGUGGGCUCAGGAAAGUUUCUCGGAAACAUGCACAAAGAAUCCUCGAUGAAACAGCUGGUCACGCUUCUUACAAAAAAGAACAUCGUGGGCUCAGGAAAGUUUCUCGGGAACAGGCACAAAGAAUCAUCGAUGAAACAGCUGGUCACGGUUCUUACAAAAAAGAAUAUCGUGGGCUCAGGAACGUUUCUCGGAAACAUGCAAGAAGAAUCCUCGAUGAAACAGCUGGUCACAAUACUUACAAAAAAGAACAUCGUGGACUCAGGAAAGUUUCUCGGAAACAUGCACAAAGAAUCCUCGAUGGAACAGCUGGUCACUGUUCUUACAAAAAAGAACAUCGUGGACUCAGGACCGCCAGAAUAUGCAUGCUUGUUUUUCUCAUUACGUGUCUCAUGACUCUUGUUAACAAUUUAGCUUUUCCUUUUUUGAGGUUGACAGUUUUGCUGUCCAACAAGCAAAGGAUAUCCUCUUUUAUUCGGCCGUAAAUAUGUACUUCUUAAGUCCAACCUUAAACCCUGUUAUCUACUUUUUAAGGAACAAAAAUCUGAGGAGAUAUGUACGCAAGUUCUUAAAGAGAAGGAAGACAGACAGACAUUUAGGUCGGGGAUUUGCAUAGAACUGAAACGAACUGUUAUUAACAGACGCGAAAGAAUCCUAGAUACAUUCUUUGAAAUAUACUCUUAGAAAUCCUGUGAAUAUGUUUGCAUUCAAGACGAAGAUGAAGAUCAAAGUUAACAAAAACAACAAAAAUAGUAUAGUAAAAAGUAUAGGGUUGUUAUUCAAGAAAAUAUAGAGAUAAAAGAGCUAAUAGCUCAAUAUCACAUAGAAAAUCAGAGACUGAAAACGUUGAUAAAAAAGCGUCAUGCUAUUUAUUAAAGAUUUUGCAUAGAUGUAGAACAUCGUUUAUCACGUCAAAUUAUCAAUGAAAAAUGAACAAUAUUGGUGAUCUCAUUUCUAUUCACCCCAUGAAAAUCUAAAAUCCCCCUCUUUAAGUGUGACGUGCUCUACCUCAGCAUUUCUGGGAAAUAAGUAGUAAGAGUGCAAGAAGGAAGCUAUCUAAUUGCAGAGCCGUAGCAGGCCACGUAAGACUAUACAGAAACCGUUAGAAAAUCUUUGGGGGGACAGCCACGCCCCUUCUGGUGCCAGAGCCAGAGCCCCACCCCCUGCUACGGCCCUGAAUUGGCAGCAACUUCAUUAGCCAACCAAUGGGCAAAGGAAUGCUUUAGAGACACCAUUUUGGGGUAAAUGGUUACCUAUUUAGAGUGCGUAUUCACGACGGCUCAGCUGUUCCCAUAUUUGAAAACUGCCUCCCUUGCAACUGAGGCAGUUUUUUGUUUGGUCUCUGCGAUCCUUCGCACAGAAAAUGUUUAUAUUGUAUAUUCUACAUAAACAACACACAAGGUGUGAGGAGUGACGCGUACCAGUUUUUGGAGACCAUAUUACAAGUUUUUUUAUACAAAUAUACAAACAUGUUCAUGUAUCAACUAGCAGAAGACUGGGGAAAAAACAACCCCGGAAACAACGACGCGUUAUGCAAACUGGUAAGGUCAAGUGAAAGACAAAUGUAAUUAGCUAAAUAUAUAGGCAUGAGUGAACCUCUAGGGAAUGCGCAAGGCGAGAAUUCCGAAUACCCAACAUAAACACAUUUCUUAAACGCUUUGAGUAAUUUUAUAUUGUUUUAUUUAUUCUUGCCUUUUGAUACAGUUUCUGAAAUUCCUAACAAUGGAAAAACAGGGGGAUGCUUAGUGAUAUUUUUCCGUGGUUUCUUUUCAAAUGGUACUCUCACCAGUUGU